rnacentral:rRNA from 1 species
CUCAGGACGAACGCUGGCGGCGUGCCUAAUACAUGCAAGUGGAACGCACUUACAUCACCGGAGCUUGCUCCACCGAUGUAAGUGAGUCGCGAACGGGUGAGUAACGCGUAGGUAACCUGCCUCAUAGCGGGGGAUAACUAUUGGAAACGAUAGCUAAUACCGCAUAACAGUAUUUACCGCAUGGUAGAUGCUUGAAAGGAGCAACUGCUUCACUAUGAGAUGGACCUGCGUUGUAUUAGCUAGUUGGUGGGGUAACGGCUCACCAAGGCAUCGAUACAUAGCCGACCUGAGAGGGUGAUCGGCCACACUGGGACUGAGACACGGCCCAGACUCCUACGGGAGGCAGCAGUAGGGAAUCUUCGGCNAUGGGGGGAACCCUGACCGAGCAACGCCGCGUGAGUGAAGAAGGUUUUCGGAUCGUAAAGCUCUGU